AUGCCAUGCAACGAGGAGGAAGAAACGGCCAUGGUCCAUCCAUGGAUCGGAUCGGAUCGGAUCAACAUAAGUGGCAACUCCAGCUUUGCACAAGAAAGAUCGGAGUGCAAUCAAUGUAGUACCAGGAAGGAAAAAGAGCAACAACAAAAAAAUGCAGUUCGUUACAGAGACACCCUGGCUAGCUUAGCUUGGAUUAGCUACAGUCCUCCACAAAUCUACAGAUUACAAGGGACAUCAGACAAGGUACGCCAAAGAGCUGGGGCUAGUUUCUUCCCCGGGAUACAAAAUUCCAACCCGGGAAGAAGUUGCCAGCGGAAUUACGUUCACCGUAACAGAACGGCUUCUAAAUCUGGUUACUCCUAA
rnacentral:rRNA from 1 species